rnacentral:lncRNA from 1 species
CUCGGGAGACGCCGCUGGCUCUCUAGGAACACCUGGGGACCGUGGCCAGGGACGACCCAGCCUCCUUCUCCUCAGCUCCUCAGGAACGACUGGGGAAGCUGUGGCUUCAUGGUCCCCGAGGCUGCCCGAGGAAAGACAGAGUCUCAACCAGGCUGGAGUGCAGUGGCGUGAUCUCGGCUCAUUGCAACCUCCGCCUCCCAGGUUCAAGCGAUUCUCCUGCCUCAGCCUCCUGAGUAGCUGGUAUUACAGGUAUUUCAGGACAGCCAGGAGGGGGCGCACAUCCGCCGAGAAACUGUGAGCAAGAGCGUCUGUGCUGAACCAUGGCGCCACCAGAGGGCGCGCGAUCCCGCCCCAACCAACUUCCCGCUGAAGUGCCAGAAGCAGCGAGGAGCUUCAACUUCCUCAGGGCAGCACGGGGGUCGUGUUAAUUUGGUGUUCUUCAUUGGUUGUUGGAACGUAAUAAGAGUUAAUGUGUGGUCUCUGCUGCAGUGUCCUGAAACAGAGCGCUAAGCCUUGGGAAUGUACGAAGUAAUGUGUCUUUCGUACGCUAAUGAAAUGAUUGAUGGCUGGGGGCACCUGGACAGCCUCAGUGGGGCUGGC